rnacentral:rRNA from 1 species
ACGCUGGCGGCAGGCCUACACAUGCAAGUCGAACGGUAACAGGAAGCAGCUUGCUGCUUUGCUGACGAGUGGCGGACGGGUGAGUAAUGUCUGGGAAACUGCCCGAUGGAGGGGGAUAACUACUGGAAACGGUAGCUAAUACCGCAUAAUGUCGCAAGACCAAAGAGGGGGACCUUCGGGCCUCUUGCCAUCGGAUGUGCCCAGAUGGGAUUAGCUUGUUGGUGAGGUAACGGCUCACCAAGGCGACGAUCCCUAGCUGGUCUGAGAGGAUGACCAGCCACACUGGAACUGAGACACGGUCCAGACUCCUACGGGAGGCAGCAGUGGGGAAUAUUGCACAAUGGGCGCAAGCCUGAUGCAGCCAUGCCGCGUGUAUGAAGAAGGCCUUCGGGUUGUAAAGUACUUUCAGCGGGGAGGAAGGUGUUGUGGUUAAUAACCGCAGCAAUUGACGUUACCCGCAGAAGAAGCACCGGCUAACUCCGUGCCGGCGGCGGCGGUAAUACGGAGGGUGCGAUGGGUUCAUCUAGAGUUACUUGCCGUAAAGCGCACGCAGGCGGUCUGUCAAGUCGGAUGUGAAAUCCCCGGGCUCAACCUGGGAACUGCAUUCGAAACUGGCAGGCUUGAGUCUUGUAGAGGGGGGUAGAAUUCCAGGUGUAGCGGUGAAAUGCGUAGAGAUCUGGAGGAAUACCGGUGGCGAAGGCGGCCCCCUGGACAAAGACUGACGCUCAGGUGCGAAAGCGUGGGGAGCAAACAGGAUUAGAUACCCUGGUAGUCCACGCCGUAAACGAUGUCUACUUGGAGGUUGUGCCCUUGAGGCGUGGCUUCCGGAGCUAACGCGUUAAGUAGACCGCCUGGGGAAUACGGCCGCAAGGUUAAAACUCAAAUGAAUUGACGGGGGCCCGCACAAGCGGUGGAGCAUGUGGUUUAAUUCGAUGCAACGCGAAGAACCUUACCUGGUCUUGACAUCCACAGAACUUUCCAGAGAUGGAUUGGUGCCUUCGGGAACUGUGAGACAGGUGCUGCAUGGCUGUCGUCAGCUCGUGUUGUGAAAUGUUGGGUUAAGUCCCGCAACGAGCGCAACCCUUAUCCUUUGUUGCCAGCGGUCCGGCCGGGAACUCAAAGGAGACUGCCAGUGAUAAACUGGAGGAAGGUGGGGAUGACGUCAAGUCAUCAUGGCCCUUACGACCAGGGCUACACACGUGCUACAAUGGCGCAUACAAAGAGAAGCGACCUCGCGAGAGCAAGCGGACCUCAUAAAGGGCGUCGUAGUCCGGAUUGGAGUCUGCAACUCGACUCCAUGAAGUCGGAAUCGCUAGUAAUCGUGGAUCAGAAUGCCACGGUGAAUACGUUCCCGGGCCUUGUACACACCGCCCGUCACACCAUGGGAGUGGGUUGCAAAAGAAGUAGGUAGCUUAACCUUCGGGGGGGCGCUUACCACUUUGUGAUUCAUGACUGGGGUGAAGUCGUAACAAGGUAACCGUAGGGGAACCUGCGGUUUGAUCACCUCC